UCCAGACUCCUACGGGAGGCAGCAGUGGGGAAUAUUGCACAAUGGGGGAAACCCUGAUGCGGCGACGCCGCGUGAGUGAAGAAGUAUUUCGGUAUGUAAAGCUCUAUCAGCAGGGAAGAAAAUGACGGUACCUGACUAAGAAGCCCCGGCUAACUACGUGCCAGCAGCCGCGGUAAUACGGGGGGUGCAAGCGUUGUCCGGAAUCAUUGGGCGUAAAGCGUUCGUAGGCGGCAAGGUAAGUCUGAUGUUAAAGCCCGGGGCUCAACUCCGGUUCGGCAUUGGAUACUAUCUAGCUAGAAUGUGGUAGAGGUAAAGGGAAUUCCUGGUGUAGCGGUGAAAUGCGUAGAUAUCAGGAGGAACAUCGGUGGCGAAAGCGCUUUACUGGACCAUUAUUGACGCUGAGGAACGAAAGCCAGGGGAGCAAAUGGGAUUAGAUACCCUAGUA
rnacentral:rRNA from 1 species